rnacentral:rRNA from 1 species
UAGGGAAUCUUCCACAAUGGACGCAAGUCUGAUGGAGCAACGCCGCGUGAGUGAAGAAGGUUUUCGGAUCGUAAAGCUCUGUUGUUGGUGAAGAAGGAUAGAGGCAGUAACUGGUCUUUAUUUGACGGUAAUCAACCAGAAAGUCACGGCUAACUACGUGCCAGCAGCCGCGGUAAUACGUAGGUGGCAAGCGUUGUCCGGAUUUAUUGGGCGUAAAGCGAGCGCAGGCGGAAUGAUAAGUCUGAUGUGAAAGCCCACGGCUCAACCGUGGAACUGGCUCGGAAACUGUAAUGCUUGAAUGCAGAAGAGGAGAGUGGAAUUCCAUGUGUAGCGGUGGAAUGCGUAGAUAUAUGGAAGAACACCAGUGGCGAAGGCGGCUCUCUGGUCUGCAACUGACGCUGAGGCUCGAAAGCAUGGGUAGCGAACAGG